rnacentral:rRNA from 1 species
CACAUGCAAGUCGAGCGAGAAACUUUCCAGUCGAUUCUUCGGAUGAAACAGGAUUGUGGAAAAGCGGCGGACGGGUGAGUAACGCGUAGGCAACCUGCCCCCUGCAGAGGGAUAGCCUCGGGAAAACCGGGGAUUAAAAACCCUCAUAAUGCGGCACUGAGACAUCUUGGAGCCGCCAAAGAUUUAUCGGGCAGGGGAUGGGCCUGCGUCUGAUUAGUUAGUUGGUGGGGUAACGGCCUACCAAGGCGACGAUCAGUAGCCGACCUGAGAGGGUGAUCGGCCACAUUGGAACUGAGACACGGUCCAAACUCCUACGGGAGGCAGCAGUGGAGAAUCUUGCACAAUGGGCGCAAGCCUGAUGCAGCAACGCCGCCGUGAACGGAUGAAGGCCCUUGGGUCGUAAACUUCUGUUCUAAGGGAAGAUAGUGACGGUACCUUAGGAGCAAGUCCGGCUAACUACGUGCC